rnacentral:rRNA from 1 species
CGUCAAAUCAGCACGGCCCUUACGUCUAGGGCGACACACGUGCUACAAUGGGCGGUACAGAGGGCAGCUACACUGCGAAGUGAUGCUAAUCUCAAAAGCCGUUCUCAGUUCGGAUUGGAGUCUGCAACCCGACUCCAUGAAGUUGGAUUCGCUAGUAAUCGCGCAUCAGCCAUGGCGCGGUGAAUACGUUCCCGGGCCUU